ensembl:ncRNA lncRNA:CR43270 long non-coding RNA::CR43270
AUUAUUUCGUUAUUGAACUCCAAAGUGCGCAGUGCGCUCGAGUGGUAGUUGUGUUGUGUGGCUCCUGUUGAUUCCGAAGUGUAGUGCAUGGUUGAUAUAUUUGGUGGAUUAAAGUGUUCUGAGUUAUCCUCGAGGAUUUUCCACGAUCGGCGUGUCUAUGGCAAGUAGAAUAGCAGGCUUAUCACAUGUUUAAUUCAAUCUGCUGUGAGAUUCUUCUAUUCUACUUUCGACAACACCCGUUAACAUCACACCCGACCCGACUGCCAGUGUAAUUUCAAGCCCCAAUCCCCGAUUCUCAAAGCUGACGCCACGUCUGUGCUCGUUGGACCCCACUCAACCCGGCCCAUUUUCACCCAUCCGAUGCUGUUGCAAUAUUAUGACUCCUGCUGUUUGUUCCGACAGACGGCUGAGCCGGGAUGGCGGGAAAAGCGGCAAAAGAAAUGUUUAUUGUGAGGCAUUUUCUAUGGCGAUUGCAAUGCCUGCUCUCUGCCCUUUUACCCUGCUAGCGCCAGCCAUUCGCAUUAAAUGAGGAAACCAAUUAUUCGCGCUUAUAAAGAUUUACCGCCAUAGAGCCCCACAUACAGCCCAGCCCAGCCCAGUUAGACAGUUGGAGAUAUAGAUGCGAGUGCUUCAACUCCAGCCCCCUACCAGUGGCCUCCGUUUUGUUUCGCUUUUAAUGGGAGCCCUCCGCUUGGCCGCAGGCUCGCUGAUUAAAGUCAGGGAUUGCAUUGCAGGGUGUCCUGUUUAGUGGAAUACGGCAAUCCUGGCAAGUGUAUGGAACUGGUAUCCUCCAAUAUGGAAUACACACGAACGCAGUAAUUACUUAAAAGUAUACAGAGGGAAAUGACAGGCUUAGUAACGAUUUCUUGGGUUGCCCUCUCUAGUGCCACCUCCUCCACAUCUAGCAGGCCAUCCACAUCCACUUAUCCCUAAUGCGGCCACAAUUUCCUGUUGGCCGAAAAACAUUUUCGCAAGAAUUUGCUCAUUUCAAAUGGGAAAUGCUUGGCGAGGCCAAUUUGAGUGUGCACAGGCGCCAGGCGAGACAAAGGCCUACUCAAGCCGCCCGUCUGGGCAUCCUUAUUGCGGGUCCUGCCGCUGGCAUAACUUGUCAUUUGUCUUGGACACUGUAGAGCGAAAUCUCGCUGAAAUUACCUUUCAUUUUGUCUUCAAAAACCACUUGAAGGGGGCAUUCACGAAGGCGGAAGCAGGCGUCAGAAGUCGCUCCCCUGGUGUCCUGUCCCGUCCCGUCGUGUCCUGUCGUUAGGGGAAGUCUGGCCAGCCGCAGCAAUUACAGACGUUAAUGUCCCACAGCCCUGCCCUGUGCUGCUCGUUCGUGCCCUUUGGAUCUCCGAUUUCGGCUUAAAGUCUUUCAGAUCCGGCUUCCGGUUCGCCUUGGCAUGGCUCCUUUCGGCCUUUGCUUUUAUGCGACCCUUUGUCCGAUGCACUUCCUGAAACCGAAAGCGUAUUGGGGCCCAGGAUGAGAGAAGCUGAGCUGAAUCAGAAGCGCUAAAUUAAAACGUAAAUACCACUUAGCCGGGAUAUAAAGCAAGUGGCCGCUCUGGCUCCUACCUGUAAUCAGUGGGUAAUUAAGCGGAGGAGCGGAAAGUGAGCAGGACACCUAAGAAUUGCUUAAUUUGUGCAGCCUGAUUUAAUGACUGUUCUUGCACAGCGCUUGCUUCCAGAGCCGAAGUGCUACCGUAAAAGUAACCACCACCCAACGGAACUCGUGCUAAGAGACCAAACUUAAUUUCAUGGGACGCUUAUCACGCGGCAAACUAUAAAUAUGCUUCUAAACAUUCGUUUUGACAGCUUCAUCUGCAAUGUGCAGCCAUCCUACCACACCGUGAAAGUACAGUCCCGCCUCCGGUUCGACGUCGCACCAGAGUCAAAGUUUUUUUGCCCUUCUUGUGCCCGUUUUUGGAAGUUGGGGUGAGUGGAGGACGAUAUUGCAACGGCUGCAGAGUGUGCAAAAAAUUCUAAACUGCAAUAAAUUCAUCAAAUGUGCAAUGAAACAUGCUGUAAUGUCACGCCCACGGCCCAAUUCAUCCGUGCCACCCGCUCCGGAUCUGAGGGGACUUCCCCAGCCGCUAACUCCAUUAAACUCGCUCCCUUUUGGUCCGGAAUUGGGUGAUAUUUUGUAGGCAAAUGUGCAAUAAAUUGUAAAUGUUUGCCGUCCGUGUGGGAGAGCAACGUUCCGUGGUUCAUGGUGAUGUGGCAGCUGUGGAACGGCCCCCGUUGAAAAUAUGCGAUGCCCCCAACGAGUGGGGCCCACCGAAAAACUUGUCCGCUGCACGCCUGUCAACUUUUAUAAGUGUUUUUGCAGAUUGUUUUUCGUCCCGAAGACUUUUUCUGUUCUGUUCUGUUCUGUUCUGGAACAGUUUUCGGUUACAGCAGGGGCAGCGUGAAAAAAUGCAGAGCAGCGAUAACGGUGGCUUGUAGCGAACGCAAUUUAGUGGGCGGAAUGGACGAGACGGGACCAGAUAAUGAAACAUGGAUGGGAAAAGUUUCGAAGAAGUGAGAUCAUGAACUAAGUCAGGCCAGGACGAUGCAAUCAUAAAUUCCUGGGCAAGGGGCAAGGAGUGAUUCGUGAAUGACUCAAUCAAUUGGGCGCCACUUAAGUGAAGAAUAUUAUUCUCUUCAUGAUUUUUUUACUAGAUAAUUAUUUUAUUUCUUACUUUGUGUAUUUUCGUACUACAAUAUGCAGCUGCAUACGUGGCUUUUGGGUACAACGGGGAGGCACACAAAUGGUGCUCUAAAUAAAAAAUGAAAUAAAAUUUCGUUAUUUUAACUGCUACAACCUUAUGUUUAUUACAGUGUUCUCCGCAUUUUGAUUACUUAACCAAAUUCAGCCUCGUUUAUUUAACACCGUUUGGAAGUUCCAAAACGGGUAAAAACAAACAAGCCAGCUCAUUCAAUUAUGCAAUUAUUAUUUGGCUUUUAUUUAAUGCAAUUAAAAAAUUAAGCGGACUGCAGGGCCGGUCCGAGCUGGAAAUUAUGCUGCCUGUGCAGGAUCCUGACACCAUCUCUCCCCACCUUGGCUAGCCCUUAACAAUCGAGUGUGGGUGGUGCAACAAUACCAUCAGCCGAAAGCUGCAAACUUCUGAGGUCGAUGUGCAGCAGGGGGCAGGAGGCACCAAAAUGUUGCCUAACGCAGCAGAAAGGCCCAAACACACAGCCCUCAAAUCGUAUGCGUAAUUUGGCUAUUAAAUCGAAUUUUUAUUGAAGCUCGUGGAACGGUGCACAGAGGGACGACCUGGGGUUCGGGGUCACCACAUUCGAAAGCCCGCCCUGGGGCUCCAAGCCCGGUUUUUCGCACGUGCGGAGGAAACGAGUUUUUGGGGGACUACUUUUGCAAACGCAACGGAAACGGAAAAUGUUCUAUUGGUUACCCCUCGAGCGCCCACCACUUUGAACUGCAUCCCGAAAUCCGCAAUUCCGAAACAGCUGCCUGCUAAUGGCAGUACUCUGCUCGUACACUGCGAAAAAUGUCAUCAGUGCUGGAAAGUUACCGUCUCGAAAUUCCAUUUACACAGAUCUGGGACAUGUAUCUGUUUUUAAUU